rnacentral:tRNA from 1 species
GCGAUGUUAGUUUAGUGGUAAAAUUGAAGCCUUCCAAGCUUUAGCCCCGGGUUCGAUUCCCGGACAUCGCA